rnacentral:rRNA from 1 species
GAUGAACGCUGGCGGCGUGCCUAAUACAUGCAAGUAGAACGCUGAAGGAAGGAGCUUGCUCUUUCCGGAUGAGUUGCGCACGGGUGAGUAACGCGUAGGUAACCUGCCUGGUAGCGGGGGAUAACUAUUGGAAACGAUAGCUAAUACCGCAUAACAGUAGAUGUUGCAUGAUAUCUACUUAAAAGGUGCAAUUGCACCACUACCAGAUGGACCUGCGUUGUAUUAGCUAGUUGGUGAGGUAACGGCUCACCAAGGCGACGAUACAUAGCCGACCUGAGAGGGUGAACGGCCACACUGGGACUGGGACACGGCCCAGACUCCUACGGGAGGCAGCAGUAGGGAAUCUUCGGAAAUGGACGGAAGUCUGACCGAGCAACGCCGCGUGAGUGAAGAAGGUUUUCGGAUCGUAAAGCUCUGUUGUAAGAGAAGAACGAGUGUGAGAGUGGAAAGUUCACACUGUGACGGUAUCUUACCAGAAAGGGACGGCUAACUACGUG